UGGGAAUGCUGGUGGCCUUGGAUGGAUUUAAUUGCCAAAGCAUGUCUGGCUCUGAAGAAUCACUGAUUGCAGCCUCUAACUGAUCAUCAGAAUCAUCAGUGGUGGCCAUCUCAUACCGAUUACUCCUCUGAGAACUUUCAACAGAUGGCCAAGAAGAUGAAUGCAUUAACACAUCUUGAAGAUCCAGACUUCGCCGUUUCAGUUUUGAUGCAGAGUUCUAAAUAUACAUGUAGAACAUAUAUGAGAAGUUUUUUUUUUCAUAGAAAACCAUCAUUUAUAACAUUGUUCAAGUAACUGAACAAAUAAAAGAGUCUAAAAACCCAAA